GAUGAACGCUAGCGGCAGGCCUAAUACAUGCAAGUCGAACGGUGUCUUCGGACAUAGUGGCGCACGGGUGCGUAACACGUAUGCAACCUACCUUACAUUGGGGGAUAGCCUUUCGAAAGGGAGAUUAAUACCGCAUAAGACAGUAGCUGGGCAUCCAGCAGCUGUUAAAGAUUUAUCGAUGUAAGCUGGGCAUGCGUCCAAUUAGCUAGUUGGUGAGGUAACGGCUCACCAAGGCAAUGAUUGGUAGGGGAACUGAGAGGUCAAUCCCCCACACUGGCACUGAGAUACGGGCCAGACUCCUACGGGAGGCAGCAGUAGGGAAUAUUGGGCAAUGGACGCAAGUCUGACCCAGCCAUGCCGCGUGCAGGAUGAAGGCGUUAUGCGUUGUAAACUGCUUUUAUACAGGAAGAAACGACUCUUGCGAGAGGCAUUGACGGUACUGUAUGGAUAAGCACCGGCUAACUCCGUGCCAGCCGCCGCGGUAAAAC
rnacentral:rRNA from 1 species